CCCAUGUGACGAAGGACCCAGUGUGACCCAGCCUCCCAGUUAGGCUGGCUGGCUUUGGCAAGUCUAUCUGCUCAGUGAAGGCUGAGAUUAAAUCAGUAUGUGCUAGCACUCGAGGCAUCGUGUAUUGGUUAAAAGCAGUUUCUGCAGGCUCGGUGUAAACCCUCUGUGAUUUACAAGGCACAGGAUGCCGGCCUGAACCAAAGCUAGUCUUGUGGUAUAAUGUGUGUCUGACACAACCGCCAAUUAGAAAAGCACCUACACCUUUCCUAGUUUAGUUUUUGAAGUUUUUUAAAAAAAUAAGCAUUUCACUUUUAGAAAUACUUGUGUAUUAGCAGUUGUAAAAAUGAAGUAUUUACAGUGUCAGUGUACAGCUAGAAAUAUACUUAUUCUAAAGACAAAGUAUUAUGUACGUUGUGAGUUGAGAAAAGUGUAUUUGCAUUAAUUUAAAAUAAGACUAGAAAGGCAAUCCAUUCUUUUUGAUGAGUUGUAGGCUUGUGUUACGGGCUAGUGAGAACCCUGGGAGCACCAUUCCUGCGGGCGGACUGCAGGUACUGAGUCCCAGGACUGUGAACUGCUUUUGGAAGCACCUUGGUUGGUUCGAGAACAGUGACUGCACAGACCAACCAGACAGAAAAUGAGAUCAGCAAAGUCUUAAAUAGAGGGCGCAGGAACGUGAAGGGGCAUGUAAACGCUCUUUCGUGAUACCCUUAAAAUGUGAUCCUAAAGGGAUGCCACUCAAAACAUUAUUUAAAAUAUGGGGGGGCAAAAGUAGGUGUACAGCUGUUUGCAUGGAAAAUAAUACGAUAACAACACAAGAGUAAACUGUUUUGCAUACUCACAACUGUGAACCCACUGCCCCAGCCCGCAGGUGUGUGGCCCUCCACCCGAAGGGAGGGCAGGUCGUCACGGGACGUAGGGAGUGGUACGUGCAGCGGAGAAUCCAGGAACAUGUGCCCCGGAGAACAGUGAGGGAGCCAUCUCUUAAGGUGGUUUGAAGAUAUUAAAGAAAUUGGAACUAGAAAACCCAGAGAAUUCAAGUUGGUUUUUUUUUUUAAGAUAAGUUAAACUCAACUCCUCUGAAUACACUUAAAAGUUGGUUGCACACACACAAAAUAAAAGGGGGAAAAAGGCAAAACAACAAGCAUUGAUUGCAGUUGUUAAACCCCAUGAUUAUAGUUUCUUGUAUCUCAAGUAAACUUUCCUCUGGUGCUAAGCAUGUUUAAUGAAGAACCUUUUGCUGGUGUUCUGAAUGUAAAUUUUGACGGGUUCAUAUGUUCUCUAAAUAUAACUACUAUUCUUUGUAAGCUAUUUAAAAUAAAUCUGCAAGUCUUUCCUCAUUCAAGUAAACACCAAUACUGUGGUCUUU